GCGCAAGCCUGAUCCAGCCAUGCCGCGUGUCUGAAGAAGGCCUUCGGGUUGUAAAGGACUUUUGUCAGGGAGCAAAACUUACUGGUUAAUACCUGGUGAGGUUGUAGAGUACCUGAAGAAUAAGCACCGGCUAACUACGUGCCAGCAGCCGCGGUAAUACGUAGGGUGCAAGCGUUAAUCGGAAUUACUGGGCGUAAAGCGUGCGCAGGCGGACUUUUAAGCCAGAUGUGAAAGCCCCGAGCUUAAACUUGGGAAUUGCGUUUGGAACUGGGAGUCUAGAGUCUGUCAGAGGGGGAUGGAAUUCCACGUGUAGCAGUGAAAUGCGUAGAGAUGUGGAGGAACACCGAUGGCGAAGGCAGUCCCCUGGGAUAAGACUGACGCUCAUGCACGAAAGCGUGGGGAG
rnacentral:rRNA from 1 species